AUUGAACGCUGGCAGCAUGCUUUACACAUGCAAGUCGAACGGUAACAGGGUGCUUGCACCGCUGACGAGUGGCGAACGGGUGAGUAAUGCGCCGGAACGUGCCGAGUAGUGGGGGAUAACGCAGCGAAAGUUGUGCUAAUACCGCAUACGUACUGAGGUAGAAAGUGGGGGACCUUCGGGCCUCACGCUAUUCGAGCGGCCGACGUCUGAUUAGCUAGUAGGUGAGGUAAAGGCUCACCUAGGCGACGAUCAGUAGCGGGUCUGAGAGGAUGCUCCGCCACACUGGGACUGAGACACGGCCCAGACUCCUACGGGAGGCAGCAGUGGGGAAUUUUGGACAAUGGGCGAAAGCCUGAUCCAGCCAUGCCGCGUGUCUGAAGAAGGCCUUCGGGUUGUAAAGGACUUUUGUCAGGGAGGAAAUCCCUAGUGCUAAUAACACUGGGGGAUGACAGUACCUGAAGAAUAAGCACCGGCUAACUACGUGCCAGCAGCCGCCGUAA
rnacentral:rRNA from 1 species